UGGUGGUAAGGACGUGAAGGAGAGAGGGAGCAUUAUUCAUGGGAAAUGGCGUUGUUUGAGCAUCAUACGGAAAGCGGCCUGAUGAAUCAUAGACAACUUUAUAUGUUUGCAUAUUCUUUUGUUUUUUUUUCGUCCUCUUUUAAUUUUCCUCAGAAAUACCCAGUCUGCUAUGUUAUAUAGAGUGCAAUGCUGGCGUUUAGUCAUGUCACAUCUGACUGUUGAUGGUUUUUCAUAUGAUCUGCUAGAGCAUGGUACGACCCAUGAAGUCUCAUCUAUCCAACUAUGUACAGUACAUAGUUAACUGCACCAUGGAAUGAUUUCUUAUUUCGAAAUCCACAUCCCAGCCUCUCAUAGCAAUCUUUCGCAGUUUAUACUACAUACGCAGUUGUGUUCUCAAUACCAACUCUCACAGGGA
rnacentral:sRNA from 2 species